AGAAUUAUUAAUUAGAUUAUAUUAACAAAAUGGACGAUGGUCCAAAGAAAGGAAAUAUUGGCGAAAAAGCUUUAGUGGAAUUAGAAUCAAGCGUAGAUGAACCCGAAUCUCAAAAACUCAGUGCAACACCACACAGAAGUCAGAUCAAAGAAAAAACAAAAGAGAAACCUGAUAAGAAACAAAAAUCAGCUCUUGAAGAAAAAC